rnacentral:lncRNA from 1 species
GUUUCUUUGCUUUAGCCUGGCUCCCUAGUUUCCCCUUCCUUGAACUUCUUUAAAGGCAUCCCAGUGCCUGAAGUGUUCAUCCUCCUGAUAACCAGUCUCACUUAGACUCUCUGACAAGCAUGGACUAAAUAGUCAGUCUUGACCAGUCUGUACAAACCAGCUCCCUCAGUGCCAAGGCUGUCCCUUUAAUCUUUUCUCUUCCUGGCAUUUUUCCAUGCCCAGCAUAGCUGUCUGUAACUGCCAUUUUCCCCAUGAAUACACUUCUGCAAGGGUAUGUGCAUGUUGCUGUGUGCCUAGCAUUGGAAGAGUGGCGGGUUUGUUGGAUAUGUCAGAGUGAGCACGGCCCCCACGCCCACUCAGGCAUCUAUUGCUCACAUUCUCACUGUGUGCUAUAAUUCCUACACCACUUUCUUUCCUAGUGCUCUUAAAACAUCUCCUUACAUUAUUUAUCUGUGUGUUUGCACGUGUGUGUGUGUGUGUGUGUGUGUGUGUGUGUGUGUGUGUGUGUGUGCAUUCUCUCAAGCACAUACGCCAUGGCACAUGUGUGGUCAGAACAUAGCUUUCAGGAGUCAUUCCCCUCCUCUCACCACGUAGGUACCAGGGAUAGGUGCUUCAAUAUGAAGCAGCCCUACUGGGCUAGCUCAGGCUACCUACUCCUGGUCAUCAUUUGUUACUGAAUCUCUAAAGUGGUCUCCCAGGAGAUUCUCCUUUAGCCUGUGUGGCAUCUGAAAUUGGCUAAAACUCAAGUGAUUGGGCACACCUGUGAGGGAUUUUUUUAAUUAAAAAAAAUUAAAUCAUUUAAAAUGGGAAGACCCACUUUUAAUCCAGAUCUUUUGAGGUGGGAAUCUAGGCCACACCUUCUGCUGGCAGUCUAUAUAAAGGACACAGAAGAAGGAAGGUUGCUCUCUCUACCUAACGACCUUCACUGUCACUGGCAAAUCCAUUCCUCCACUGGCAAGAUAGCCUACUUCUUUGGAAUGCUGAGACCCUGUGAGAGCCAACAUUACAUUUUAAUUUACUGUUCCUAAGAGAUCCAUGAAACAAAAAUGCGUCUAACCUGUAAGCCUUUUACUCAGGAACAGACAUUUCCUGCAAUGCUGGACGCUGUUGUUUCUGAGAGAUAACAAGCCACGUGUUUUCACUCCCCUAAACAAGUGAGCUUGAUCACACGUAAUGGAAAAUACCAUGCCAUUAUGGGGUUGUCGUCUUAAGCCUCUGCCAAGUGUGACUCGUGGCCAUUUCAUGGAAACCCUGGAAUAGACCUGGCCAGAGUCCAUCCUCCUUGUCAGUAUUUAAUUAAAGCUUGCUUCAAAUUUGGCUGGAAGAUUGUGGCAGAGGUCUUAUUCUCAACCCAUGGGACUAACAACAUCUAAUGUCAUGGACAAAAAUUCAACUGGAUUCUUGGAUCAUCUGUUGGAAGAUAGUUAUUGUUGGAGAACUGGACCACAGCCUAUAAAUCAAUCUAAUAUAUCCCCUUUCUAUCUAUCUAUCUAUCUAUCUAUCUAUCCACCCAUCCAUCCAUCUAGAUUCAUUCUAUAAGUUCUGCUCCUGUAGAUAACCCUGACUUAAUCUGCCUGGUGCCAGAAAUGAGUUGAUUUGCUAAAAUGAAUUCCAAAGCAUCCAGUAUUGUCAGGUCUACAAAUUUUCUGGCCACCUAGUUUUGUAUACUUCCCAUUUGCCACAAGAGGGCGCACUAUUGUCAUCUUUAACUUCACUCAGGGUAGAAAGAGAUAUACUUCAAGGUUUAUUUGUUUCUCAUGUAGCCCAAGAUGGUCUCAAACUCACUACGUAGCUCAGGGUGACCUUAAAUUUCUGACCUUCCUGCCUUCCAUCUCCUGAGUGAUGGGAUGAUAGCCAUGUGCCACCAACAUGCCUCGAGUGCAUUUGAGAUUUAAAUUGAGUGGCUAGAGAGAGGUGGCUCAACAUAAAAGCCCUUGCUGUCCUAGCAGGACAGUCCAAGUGGAGUUCAGUUCUGAGCACUUACAACAGGGGCUUAUAAUUGCCUGUAACUCCAGCCAGGAGAUGUGAUUCUACCUUCUAGUCUCCACAGGCGCGCCAUGCUCACGUAUGCAUACACACCUAAAUAAAAUGCAAUUUUAUGCCAAAAUCAGGAACUGAGAGAGUAGUUCAACAGUAGGGUACUUGGUUCACAGUUGUAAGACUAUCCGUUAGACACCAACAUGCACACACACAUGCACACACACACAUUUAAAAUUAUUUACUAUAAAUAAUAAGGCCAGCCAGACAUGGUGGCGCAUGCCUUUAAUCCCAGCACUCAGGAGGCAGAGGCAGGCAGAUUUCUGAGUUUGAGGCCAACCUGGUCUACGAAGUGAGUUCCAGGACUGCCAGGACUAUACAGAGAAACCCUGUCUUGAAAAACCAAAAUAAUAAUAAUAAUUAAUAAUAAUAAUAAUAAUAAGGCCUACAUGAUAUCCACACAUUUCCUUAAAUGGAAUGUAAUUAUCAGGACUGGAAAGAUGGUUUCAUAGCUAGGAGCAGUUGCUGCUCUUUGCAGAGGACCUGAGUUUGGCUCCCCAGCAUCCACUUCGAGUGGCUCACAGCCACAUGUAACUCCAGCUUUGGGUGCUAGAAGGUGCUCUUCUGGAGUCUGUGGGCACUUGUACACACAUAUUCACAAACCCUCAGGCAUGCGCGUGUGUGCGCGCUCACACACACACACAAUUAAAAAAUAAAACUGAUCAACUGAUCUUUAAAAAUAAAAAAGGAAUGUCAUUGAUUUCACAAUAUUGCAGACAAACCUUCCAGACAUUUGUAUAUGUCAAGUUGUUUUUCUUUGGUAGAAGGCUACCGGUUUUCAUUGUGGCACUUAGGAUUAUUUUUAUAUGUACACCGCUUUAUUAUUUAUUUAUUUAUAUCUACUUAUUUAUUUAUUUAUUUAUUUAUAUUUACUUAUCUAUGCAUGCAGUGGCUGCAGGAGCCAGAAGAGGGCACUGGAUCCCUCGGAACUGGGGUUAGAAAAGAGGUUGGCCUUUCUGAAGGUUUUCUGCAAGAGCCAACAAGUGCACUUGGCUGCUGAGCCAUCUCCAGGUCAGUAAGGGGCUAUUGCUAUUAAGUAUUAAAGGGCUUAAAGGCAUGCGCCACCAUCUGAUGUGUGAUGUAUUCAUUUAUUUCGAUUAAAAAAAAAAAGAAAUAGAAAGAAUGAGACGGAGAUCUGUUUUAAAAUUCCUUUCCCAGGACCUGGGUGUGCUGUGUACAAGACAGAAAAGAGCUGGAGAGCCAACCCCCUGGGCGCCAUGUCAGUCACUGCACAGUAAUUGAAACCAGGAUGUAUCAUAAACAGGCUUUAGCUAACUGCUAACUGCUAAACAAGUUAGUCCCUCGGCCAUUGUUUACUUUGAGCAAUUCCCUUCUGCCCUAAACCACAGAGAGGUAAUUAUAGACAACGAAUCUUGAUGGAGGACUGGAUGCCAUCUAACUGGGACUAGCCCGAAGAAAAUGGCGAAUAUUGCAUAAAUGACCUAGAAGAGUAUUUCCAGCUCGCUUCUGCACCUUGCCCUGAGGCUCCUAAUCUGACUUCAUUCAUUUUGUUGUUAUGGCAGAACUAUC